AGCUUCUUAGCGCAGUAGGUAGCGCGUUGGGCUCAUAACCCAAAGGUCGUCGGAUCGAAACCGACAGAAUCUA
rnacentral:tRNA from 1 species